CCAGAUAGACAGCCCAAGAGGGGGGGGGUGAAUUGGGUUUUAAAAUAAUUAUUGCAAUUAAAAGACUUUGUGAGUAACUAAUUAAAACUUUUGUGGAUUAAUUAGUUGCUGUAUGCAGUGGAUGAAGGGAAAGAAAGAGAAAAUGAAACAAUCACAAACACAAGCAAUUUUAUAGUAGUUCGGAGCUAACCCUUGCUCCUACGUCCACUCCCCAAGCCUCACUUGGGAGUACACUAUAAUCCCUCGGAUUACAGCCGGUUAUUUUACAAGUUCACAACCCAACUUGUUGUUUUACGAGAUCACAACGAACUCGGUCGGUUUUCACAGGCUCACCGACUAGAACCACCCGAUUAUUUUCCCGGGAUCACAAUCAAACUCUUACACCGUUGGUUUUAACCUUGGCUCACCAACAAACCUUAACACCCUUGAUUCAAUCCCCUGAUUGAAUCAAGUAAGAAACAAAUAGUUUGAAACAAACAGAAAAAGAAAGCUUCUCAAAAGCGUAUUUAAACAAUUUAAGCAAGGAAGAGUAAGAAGCCCUCAAACUGAUUUUGGAGACGGAGGAAGGGGCUUUUCAAACUCUUUGACUCCUCUUGAAUUUGAUGUAGACUUGCUGUCAG
rnacentral:lncRNA from 1 species